UCCUACGGGGCGCAGCAGUAGGGAAUAUUGCGCAAUGGACGAAAGUCUGACGCAGCGACGCCGCGUGAGUGAUGAAGGCCUUAGGGUCGUAAAGCUCUGUUGCAGGGGAAGAACAAAAUGACGGUACCCUGCGAGAAAGGAUCGGCUAACUUCGUGCCAGCAGCCGCGGUAAGACGAGGGAUCCUAGCGUUGUUCGGAAUCAUUGGGCGUAAAGCGCAUGUAGGCUGCCAUUCAAGUCAGUUGUGAAAGCCCCGGGCUCAACCCGGGAAGUGCUUCUGAUACUGUUUGGCUUGAGUACUAGAGAGGAUAGUAGAAUUCCAGGUGUAGUGGUGAAAUACGUAGAUAUCUGGAGGAAUACCGGUGGCGAAGGCGGCUAUCUGGCUAUGUACUGACGCUGAGAUGCGAAAGCGUGGGGAGCAAACAGGAUUAGAAACCCCAGUAGUCCU
rnacentral:rRNA from 1 species